UCGUCGGGUAGGAUCAUCCUUACCUGUUCCCCCUUUGGGAGGGCAGAUGCGAACGUGAUGAUCGGAUCUUGUAUGAUUCGUGGUUAGUGUCUCGGCGUGGCCAGGACCCUGGUCACUCCUGUAUGAU